UAGGAAAAACGGAAAAAUAUACGAAAUUUAUGAUUAAUUUCAAAUCGUAAAUAUUACUGUCAAGUCUCAAGUGUCAGUUAAAACUUAUUAUUCUGUCGUGGCUAAAAACUGACGGAAAUUUAUUAGAAUUUAAAAAAAAGUUGAAAAUUUCAUUAAUUGAAAAAACAAAACAAAAACAACUUCUAAUCUAAUUUAAUAUUGUAAUUCC